UACGAAGGGGGCUAGCGUUGUUCGGAAUUACUGGGCGUAAAGCGCACGUAGGCGGACUAUUAAGUCAGGGGUGAAAUCCCUCGGCUCAACCGGGGAACUGCGUCCGAUACUGGUGGGCUCGAAUCCGGGAGAGGGAUGUGGAAUUCCAGGUGUAGCGGUGAAAUGCGUAGAUAUCUGGAGGAACACCGAUGGCGAAGGCAGCUCGCUGGGACGGUACUGACGCUGAGGCGCGAAAGCGUGGGGAGCAAACAGG
rnacentral:rRNA from 1 species